UCUUAUUCUCUGUCUUUCUUUCUCUCUUUCUCUCUCUCUCUCUCUCUCUCUCUCUCUCUCUCUCUGUCUCUGUCUACCUGCCUGUCUGCUUGCUCUUUCAGGAAAAUUAUUAAACAUUCAACGCCAUCUGUAUAUAGUGAUCUAUUUAUGCAUAGGCAACAAAGCCAUGGAUACGAACGUGCGUGCACGUUAGGUAGAUGCAGUUGUUUCAGCGUUUGUGAAACUAAACGAAUGUCGCUACUUCAACUAAAAGAAGACACAUUAGAGAAGAAGAAGAAGAAGAAGAAAAAAAGGAAGAAGAAAAAGGAGACGAAAAAGGAGAAGUUAUAUUGCCGUAACCCUCCCAUUGAAAAGAAAGACAAGAAACAAGAAAGACAAAAUAACAGAGAAUACAUGAUGAGAAAAAAUAGAAAAGGAAGCGAAAAAGAAACAAAAAAAAAACUAAGGCAUAUAAAAAUAAAUGAAUGAAUAAAAGAACAGAAGAAUAAAAGAAUAGAAGAAUAAAAGAAUAGACGAGAUAAAAGGAGGAAUAAAAAUAGAAUAGAAAGAAUGUCGUUUGUAUAAAAGUACUGGGAGAAGACUGAGAGUGUAGGUGGGGUGGUGACAGAAAUAGGUAGAGAAUGGAUGGAUGGAUGGAUGGAUGGAUGGAUGGAUGGAGGGAGGGAUGGUUGGAGGGAUGGUUGGAAAGAAGAGCUUCAAGAGAGGUGCAGAGAUAAAGAAAUUAUAGGUAUAGUAAUAUGGCUGAUGAUGAUAAUGAUAGUGAUGUUGGUUGUGGUGGUUGUGAUGGCUGUGAUGAUGGCGAUGGUGGUGAUGAUGAUCGUGAUGAUGGCGACGCCGACGAUGAUGGUGAUGACAAAGAUGACGGUGAUGGAGAGGAUGAUGGAGAGGAUGAUGAGGACAAUAACGAAGAAACGGCAUAUUUCUACAUAUAGAGUGAGAAAGCUGUAUGCGAGUCUAAAGGAGAGAGAGA